rnacentral:rRNA from 1 species
UACGUAGGGUGCAAGCGUUGUCCGGAAUUCUUGGGCGUAAAGAGCUCGUAGGCGGUCUGUCACGUCUGCCGUGAAAACCCGAGGCUUAACCUCGUGGCUUGCGGUGGAUACGGGCAGACUAGAGGUAGGUAGGGGAGAACGGAAUUCCCGGUGUAGCGGUGAAAUGCGCAGAUAUCGGGAGGAACACCAGUGGCGAAGGCGACUACCUGGCCUGUUUCUUGACGCUGAGGCGCGAAAGCUAGGGGAGCAAACGGG